UUGACGGGGAGCACCACAACAGGUGGAGCCUGCGGUUAAUCGGACUCAACGCCGGGAAACUCACCAGAUAAGACAGCUGAAUGAUAGUCGGGCUGAAGACUCUACUUGACUAGCUGAGAGGAGGUGCAUGGCCGUCGUCAGUUCGUACUGUGAAGCAUCCUGUUAAGUCAGGCAACGAGCGAGACCCACGCCAACAGUUGCCAGCGUACUCUCUGGAGUGACGGGUACACUGUGGGGACCGCCGCUGCUAAAGCGGAGGAAGGAAUGGGCAACGGUAGGUCAGUAUGCCCCGAAUAUCCCGGGCUACACGCGAGCUACAAUGGUUGGUACAAUGGGUAUCUACCCCGAAAGGGGACGGGAAUCUCCUAAAACCAAUCUUAGUUCGGAUUGAGGGCCGCAACUCGCCCUCAUGAAGCUGGAAUCCGUAGUAAUCGCGUUUCAACAGAACGCGGUGAAUACGUCCCUGCUCCUU
rnacentral:rRNA from 1 species